UAGGAGGGAAGAUGAUCGUCCCACCCUCUCAUAGCCACAGGACUCCGGAUCAUGAAGGUAUGAGGCCUCAAAUUAGACAGGAAGUCGAGGGAUAGGGGAUGUUCCCUCGGCAAGAGGGUGCCACAUGGAAGGCCUAAACGGGGAGUGUGAAAGGCC
rfam:Pan troglodytes chromosome 1 Contig486.25, whole genome shotgun sequence.